rnacentral:rRNA from 1 species
ACUGCUCUCCGAGACCAACCCCGAGUACCGCGGGUCACGUGAAACCCCGUGGGAAUCUGGCAGGACCAUCUGCUAAGGCUAAAUACUACCUGGCGACCGAUAGUGAAGCAGUACCGUGAGGGAAAGGUGAAAAGCACCCCGGAAGGGGAGUGAAAUAGAACCUGAAACCGUGUGCUUACAAGAAGUCAGAGCCCUUUCUAUGGGUGAUGGCGUGCCUUUUGUAGAAUGAACCGGCGAGUUACGUUUACGUGCAAGGUUAAGGUGAAAAGCCGUAGCCGAAGCGAAAGCGAGUCUGAAUAGGGCGACAUAGUACGUAGACGUAGACCCGAAACCGUGUGAUCUACCCCUGUCCAGGGUGAAGGUGCGGUAACACGCACUGGAGGCCCGAACCCACGCAUGUUGAAAAAUGCGGGGAUGAGGUGGGGGUAGCGGAGAAAUUCCAAUCGAACUCGGAGAUAGCUGGUUCUCCCCGAAAUAGCUUUAGGGCUAGCCUCGGAAUAAAGAGUCAUGGAGGUAGAGCACUGAUUGGAUGCGGGGCCCGCCAAGGGUUACCAAGUUCAGUCAAACUCCGAAUGCCAUCGACUUAUGUCCGGGAGUCAGACAGUGAGUGCUAAGAUCCAUUGUCAAGAGGGAAACAGCCCAGACCAUCAGCUAAGGCCCCUAAAUAUAUGUUAAGUGGGAAAGGAUGUGGAGUUGCACAGACAACCAGGAUGUUGGCUUAGAAGCAGCCACCAUUUAAAGAGUGCGUAAUAGCUCACUGGUCGAGUGACUCUGCGCCGAAAAUGUAACGGGGCUAAACAUAUUGCCGAAGCUAUGGAUUGAAACUAUGUUUCAGUGGUAGGGGAGCGUUGUGUACCGGGUUGAAGGUAGAUCGUAAGGACUGCUGGACUGUACACAAGUGAGAAUGCCGGUAUGAGUAACGAAAAGACAUGUGAGAAUCAUGUCCGCCGAAAGCCUAAGGGUUCCUGGGGAAGGUUCGUCCGCCCAGGGUAAGUCGGGACCUAAGGCGAGGCCGAAAGGCGUAGUCGAAGGACAACAGGUUGAAAUUCCUGUACCACCGUAAACCGUUAUGAGCAAUGGGGUGACACAGAAGGAUAGGGACGCGAACUGAUGGAUGUUCGUCCAAGCAGUGAGGCUGAUGUGUAGGCAAAUCCGCACAUCAUUNNNNNNNNNNNNNNNNNNNNNNNNNNNNNNNNNNNNNNNNNNNNNNNNNNNNNNNNNNNNNNNNNNNNNNNNNNNNNNNNNNNNNNNNNNNNNNNUAGGCUGUGAUGGGGAGGGAAAAUUAUAGUACCGAAGGUCUUGAUUUCAGGCUGUCAAGAAAAGCCUCUAGCCAGGGAGAAGGUGCCCGUACCGCAAACCGACACAGGUAGGCGAGAUGAGUAUUCUAAGGCGCGCGGAAGAACUCUCGUUAAGGAACUCGGCAAAAUGACCCCGUAACUUCGGGAGAAGGGGUGCCUCGGUAGGGUGAAUAGCCCGAGGGGGCCGCAGUGAAAAGGCCCAAGCGACUGUUUAGCAAAAACACAGGUCUGUGCGAAGCCGCAAGGCGAAGUAUACGGGCUGACGCCUGCCCGGUGCUGGAAGGUUAAGGGGAGUGGUUAGCCGCAAGGCGAAGCUAUGAACCGAAGCCCCAGUAAACGGCGGCCGUAACUAUAACGGUCCUAAGGUAGCGAAAUUCCUUGUCAGGUAAAUUCUGACCCGCACGAAUGGCGUAACGACUUGGGCGCUGUCUCAACGAGAGAUCCGGUGAAAUUUUAAUACCUGUGAAGAUGCAGGUUACCCGCGACAAGACGGAAAGACCCCAUGGAGCUUUACUACAGCUUGAUAUUGGACUUUGGUACGGACUGUACAGGAUAGGUGGGAGCCUGAGAAGCCUGAGCGCCAGCUUAGGUGGAGGCACCGUUGGGAUACCACCCUGUUCGUAUCGGAGUUCUAACCUAGGACCGUGAUCCGGUUCGGGGACAGUGUCAGGUGGGUAGUUUGACUGGGGCGGUCGCCUCCUAAAGAGUAACGGAGGCGCCCCAAGGUUCCCUCAGAAUGGUUGGAAAUCAUUCGAAGAGUGCAAAGGCAUAAGGGAGCUUGACUGCGAGACCUACAAGUCGAGCAGGGACGAAAGUCGGGCUUAGUGAUCCGGUGGUACCGCAUGGAAGGGCCAUCGCUCAACGGAUAAAAGCUACCCUGGGGAUAACAGGCUUAUCUCCCCCAAGAGUCCACAUCGACGGGGAGGUUUGGCACCUCGAUGUCGGCUCAUCGCAUCCUGGGGCUGAAGUAGGUCCCAAGGGUUGGGCUGUUCGCCCAUUAAAGCGGUACGCGAGCUGGGUUCAGAACGUCGUGAGACAGUUCGGUCCCUAUCUGUCGCGGGCGUAGGAAAUUUGAGAGGAGCUGUCCUUAGUACGAGAGGACCGGGAUGGACGUACCGCUGGUGUACCAGUUGUCUCGCCAGAGGCAUAGCUGGGUAGCCAAGUACGGAAGGGAUAAGCGCUGAAAGCAUCUAAGCGCGAAGCCCCCCUCAAGAUGAGAUUUCCCAAUUAGUAAGACCCCUUGAAGACGACGAGGUUGAUAGGUUCGGGGUGGAAGCACAG